AGCAGUCGCCGCGGUAAUACGAAGGGGGCUAGCGUUGCUCGGAAUCACUGGGCGUAAAGGGUGCGUAGGCGGGUUUUUAAGUCAGAGGUGAAAUCCUGGAGCUCAACUCCAGAACUGCCUUUGAUACUGAAAGUCUUGAGUUCGGGAGAGGUGAGUGGAACUGCGAGUGUAGAGGUGAAAUUCGUAGAUAUUCGCAAGAACACCAGUGGCGAAGGCGGCUCACUGGCCCGAUACUGACGCUGAGGCACGAAAGCGUGGGGAGCAAACAGGAUUAGAUACCCCAGUAGUCCCUGUCUCUUAUAC
rnacentral:rRNA from 1 species